UUAAUUGCCCCCUGCAAAAGAGAUUUUUGCAGCGUACAUAGUAAAAGCCCCCUGCAAUAGACCUUUUAUUUUGCAGCGUACAUGGUAAAAGCCCCCUGCAAUAACAUAUUUGUAAUUUUUUUCGCUGCAACUUUAACUCAGACCAAACAUUUCUACCUCAAACCUCAUGACCAAUUUCGCAGCGAAUAUCCCACUCUCAUUACUCCCUUCUUCUUCUCUCGGCUUACCCUGCGUCUCGCCGGUGGUUCUCACCAGUGGUCGUCGCCGCGUGGUCUCGCCCGUCGCCGGUGGUACUCUAGCAAGAGUCUAUUUAAUUUCCUCACCUCUCACCGGUGGUUCCCUGCUCGAAAAACCCCCGCAAAAGGUAUUCCCUGCUCGAAAAAACAACCGGCGAAGUGAUUCCCUGCUCGGAAAACUAAGCUUCUUUGCUCGGCCGGUUCGCGAACCCUGUUCUCCGUCAAUCCUCGCUGCGGCAAAGAAAGCCAAAGAAAUUGUUGGCUGACAAGAUUAGGAGAAAAUACAUACGUUUAUCUCGGAGACUUCCUCCACCCUUUUGAAGGGCGCAUAUACCAGUAAAAAACCGUACUGUUAUAGUACUCGAGACAGAUACUGGAGAACAAUACGAAGCCAAUUAUCUGCCUCAAUAUCGUGGACUCAGUGGUGGGUGGAAAAGGUUUGCCAUAGUUCUGAAAUUGG